GCGCUCGCUUCGGAAGCACAUAUACUAAAACUGGAACGAUACAGAGAAGAUUAGCACGGCCCCUGCGCAAGGGUGACACGCACAUUCGUGAAGCAUUCCAUAUUUUU
rnacentral:snRNA from 1 species